AUUGAACGCUGGCGGCAUGCCUUACACAUGCAAGUCGAACGGCAGCGCGGACUUCGGUCUGGCGGCGAGUGGCGAACGGGUGAGUAAUACAUCGGAACGUACCCUGUUGUGGGGGAUAACUAGUCGAAAGAUUAGCUAAUACCGCAUACGACCCGAGGGUGAAAGUGGGGGACCGCAAGGCCUCACGCAGCAGGAGCGGCCGAUGUCUGAUUAGCUAGUUGGUGGGGUAAAGGCCAACCAAGGCGACGAUCAGUAGCUGGUCUGAGAGGACGAUCAGCCACACUGGGACUGAGACACGGGCCAGACUCCUACGGGAGGCAGCAGUGGGGAAUUUUGGACAAUGGGGGCAACCCUGAUCCAGCAAUGCCGCGUGUGUGAAGAAGGCCUUCGGGUUGUAAAGCACUUUUGUCCGGAAAGAAAUCGCGCUGGUUAAUACCUGGCGUGGAUGACGGUACCGGAAGAAUAAGCAUCGGCUAACUACGUGCCAGCCGCCGCGGUAA
rnacentral:rRNA from 1 species